ACUGAGAAACAUAAAAAGGAAAGUAUUAGUCUCCAUUUGCUUAAGUAUACUUUAAGCACAUUUACAACCUGAGCAAUUUUGUGAUGGAGAAAAUGAUUUCUAGUGCAUUUUAUAAGGUGUGGGACAUCAAUGAACCAAUCAACCAUCAAUGAACCAAUACAACCAUCGACGAAGCACAAUUUAUUCACCAUUUUUGGAAAGACGCUAUCAAGGCGUCAACCAAACGACGCCAUUAAUGUGUUCAAACUUUCAGUGCGACUAAUGGAAAACCCGUUGACGACUGAUCCGAAUGUAACAUUUGCUCACAAGCUCAAGAGAUGGCGUUUACUAUAGAUAACCUAGCAAUGCCUACUGGUACCACAAAGAGGCUUCACAAGAGAUACCCUUCUUAACUGAAGAGUUGGUACACCUCCCUUUUACACCAUGCUGCGGAUAGCAGGAUUGCUGUAGUCCGGUAAUGUUGCUAUCCGCCAUCUUAGAAAAACUCCAUCCUUUUAUAACACAGUGUCUUAUGGGAUUAUUGUUUAAAGUUUUAUUUUUUCAAAAGUGAUUAGUGUUAGAAGAGUUGCAUCAAAGAUGUCAAACUAUUACAAGAAGUGCAUCGUCGAAGGGUGCCCAAACAACAGAGUUGGAGAAAAGUUAGUGGGGGUAGUAAAUUUGUUAAGAUUCCUGCCUGGCCUGACAAACGCUUCUUACAUGACUCAAAUAUUAUUGAGGAAAGAAGAGCGCUUUGGCUAUCCAGGUUAAACAUUAAAAACUUUAACAUCAAAACCAAAUACUUAGUGUGUAGUAUUCAUUUCGUGUUUGGAAAACCAUGCUACUACAUGAAUAAGCACCAUCCAGAUUGGGCUCCUUCAUUAUCAUUGAAUCAAGCUAGCUGCAGCACCCGUUCUGAAAGAAACUUUUUGUUCAGCUACAAUAGAGUUUUUCAUUCCUCGAAGACUUAGAACUCAACAUCAUCCACUAAAGCAAAUCUAUAUUUUAUAUAUUAAUAAAUAUAUUAGAAAUCUAUAUGUUACAUCCUGUAAUAAUAAUAAUAUACAUUAGUGAUUGUUUAAAUGAAACUUAAGAUAAAUAAAAUCCUUACCGAUUUU
rnacentral:lncRNA from 1 species